rnacentral:rRNA from 1 species
UACGUAGGGGGCAAGCGUUGUCCGGAAUUAUUGGGCGUAAAGCGCGCGCAGGCGGUCUUUUAAGUCAGGUGUUUAAUCCCGGGGCUCAACCCUGGUCCGCACCUGAAACUGGGAGACUUGAGUGCAGGAGAGGAGAGCGGAAUUCCACGUGUAGCGGUGAAAUGCGUAGAGAUGUGGAGGAACACCAGUGGCGAAGGCGGCUCUCUGGUCUGUAACUGACGCUGAGGCGCGAAAGCGUGGGUAGCAAACAGG